GUUUCUCUUCGGUUUACACAAACGUUUAUCAUUUUCUUUUCUUGCACUAAUUUUCAACUAAAUUUUCUUAUUACUUAGUGGAAAUACAUUGACUGCAGAUCUGCUCAUGUUGUUGUGUUCUAUGAUGACAUGGAAAUCUUGUCCAAUAAUCAAACUGGGAUUGCUGUAAAAGAGAAUUGACUUGUUCAAUUUGAGGCGACGAAUAAUACGGAAGUGAAAAACAUGCAGGAUUUGGAGGAUUUGCAGAAUGCCUUGGCAAUUCUUUAUCGGGAAAGGCAACAACUGGUGGUGAAGUUGGUUUAGCUCGUAAAUGUAUUGAACCAAUCCUAACUGGGAAGAGUCGUUUGCUGCUGAAGAAUGAAAAUCACGACAACCGUAAAUCCACAAAGCAAACAAAAUCACCUGACAUUUUUCUCCCCGGUAGAUCUUCAUGUCAUGACUUGGGGUAUAAUAAUUGGAGGCUGACGAAAUAUUUUGUCGCACCAUCAAAUGGUAACACGAUAAAUUUCGUUCCUUAUUCUCAAAAAAAAAUAAGCUGAUGAAUUCGUGUGAUAUAUAUUAUAUCGAUUUUUAGUCCGCAUAUUUUUAUCUUUUUUUUACGAGUAGAUAAAAUUUGUAUCGAAUGUGGCGAUGGGAAGUGACGAUUUGUAGUUGUCUACGGAGGGUGGUGUGGGGUCCACUCCCUUAGAAACAAGGUAAUUUGCUGGUGCACAAAUGAUUGUCAAAAGACAAACUCGUUUCUGUGUUA